GACGAACGCUGGCGGCGUGCCUAAUACAUGCAAGUGGGACGCAAGGAAACACACUGUGCUUGCACACCGUGUUUUCUUGAGUCGCGAACGGGCGAGUAACGCGUAGGUAACCUGCCUAUUAGCGGGGGAUAACUAUUGGAAACGAUAGCUAAUACCGCAUAAUAUUAAUUAUUGCAUGAUAAUUGAUUGAAAGAUGCAAGCGCAUCACUAGUAGAUGGACCUGCGUUGUAUUAGCUAGUUGGUAAGGUAAGAGCUUACCAAGGCGACGAUACAUAGCCGACCUGAGAGGGUGAUCGGCCACACUGGGACUGAGACACGGCCCAGACUCCUACGGGAGGCAGCAGUAGGGAAUCUUCGGCAAUGGACGAAAGUCUGACCGAGCAACGCCGCGGGAGUGAAGAAGGGUUUCGGAUCGUAAAGCCCUGUUGUAAGUCAAGAACGUGUGUGAGAGUGGAAAGUUCACACAGUGACGGUAGCUUACCAGAAAGGGACGGCUAACUACGUG
rnacentral:rRNA from 1 species